UGGUANUCCACGCCGUAAACGAUGAGUGCUAGGUGUUAGGCCCUUUCCGGGGCUUAGUGCCGCAGCUAACGCAUUAAGCACUCCGCCUGGGGAGUACGACCGCAAGGUUGAAACUCAAAGGAAUUGACGGGGGCCCGCACAAGCGGUGGAGCAUGUGGUUUAAUUCGAAGCAACGCGAAGAACCUUACCAGGUCUUGACAUCCCUCUGACCGCUCUAGAGAUAGAGUUUUCCUUCGGGACAGAGGUGACAGGUGGUGCAUGGUUGUCGUCAGCUCGUGUCGUGAGAUGUUGGGUUAAGUCCCGCAACGAGCGCAAUCCCUAUUGUUAGUUGCCAUCAUUCAGUUGGGCACUCUAGCGUGACUGCCGGUAAUAAACCGGAGGAAGGUGGGGAUGACGUCAAAUCAUCAUGCCCCUUAUGACCUGGGCUACACACGUGCUACAAUGGCUGGUACAACGAGUCGCAAGCCGGUGACGGCAAGCUAAUCUCUGAAAGCCAGUCUCAGUUCGGAUUGUAGGCUGCAACUCGCCUACAUGAAGUCGGAAUCGCUAGUAAUCGCGGAUCAGCACGCCGCGGUGAAUACGUUCCCGGGCCUUGU
rnacentral:rRNA from 1 species